CGGUUAAUCGUUAAGCAGGCAAGACCUGGGCAAUUUAAAAAACGAGUUAAAGUUAAUGUGCCUGACUGGCAAUUUUUAGUGAGACAUUUGAUUCGGGAAGCAAUGGUGGAUGUGUUUGGCUAAAGUGAUGAGGCAGCCAACUAAAAAAGCCUUGUCCUAAAUCCUGGAAUCAGCAAAGUGGUUGUGAUGGAGUAAACAGGUGAUGAUUUUGAGAUCGGCCUUUCAUUCCAAUACCAAAUCCUUGGUGAUGGAUACUAUUGGGAGUACCAGUGAUUAGGUGGCCCAGACUGAGGAUGGUAGAUUCUGCUUCGGAGUGGCCAGUAUUCUACUGGCAGGCACAACAUUUGUCCGGACAAACCACCAAAUUCUGCAUGUCGUCGUGGGAUACCCUGAUACACUGACGCUCACCCCACAAUAGGAUUAAGUAUUAAACCAUAGCCGUAAGUAAUAAACUAA